GUACAGUCGUAAUAUUUUAACUUCAUAUUAUUGAUAUUUUCAGAGUUCAUAGAUUUUUGCUGAAAUUUGGCAAUUUUGAACUAUUUUUCCCAGCCAGGAGAUCCAUACUGUGGUGUUCAGGAUGUUUCAGUCUAAAGUUUAGUGUAAAGUGUAAAAGCUGAUCCUGUGACCCUCUGUGACCAUUCAAGGAUUUCAGAACCUGAGCUUGUUUGAUCCAUGUGAUAUGUCCAAAACUCGUAUAAGGAACAGGCCUGUUUCACAGUCAUAAGCUAACUCGCAAAAUGUGACUACAGUCAAGCCAACAUUGUGUUUUGCCAACUUUGUUGCCUCAGUUGUUGUGUCUUUAUAUUACUGUCCUCUGGGUGUCACAAGCAGGAGCUUUGUCAGUAUGAAAGUUCACUUUAUCAAAAAAGUUUUGGCCCUGACAUUAAAUGAGUGAGUGCGAGUUAGCUGAUGUCACAACAACUUCCUGUUUUAGCAAUGUUACUUCAAAAGAAACUCAUACAGCCCUAAAAUGUCCUCGCAUGCAGGAAAAUUCAUAGAAGCAAUUUCUUUAAAUUGCUUCUAUGAAUUUUCCUCUUGAGAGAAACCGAAUCUCACUGAAUCAUCAAAUGCUUCACUGAGAGCCGUUCAGCUGCUGUUGUUAAGGCUUCAGCACGAUGGAGCGCCAGGAUCACCGCCUCCUUCAGAGUGAGGUUGAGUCAUCGUUCCAGAAGUGAGCAGGCAUGAGUGCGUCUGCAGCCACAGUGAGGCAUCAAGGGACAACAGAGAAGCCUCAAACUUCAAGGACACACCGGAAAUCUGCAGGAAGUUCAAGGGGCAGCAGAGGGUUGGUGCACAGUUGUUUUCUCUGAUGAAGCCAACUUCUGACUGUUUGGGAAAUCUGAAAAAAUCAUUUGUCUGUGGAAAAUCCCAAGAUUUGUGAGGCAUGUUUACAGACGAUGAUGGGGGUACCUGCAAGAGACCCGGCAGAGUGGAGUGGGCAAGCAUAAGGGCUAAACUCUGGUGACUGGAACAUCAUGGAUGUGAAACAGGCAAGCUUUUCUGGCAAGUUAUCUGGUUACGAAGCUCUGCAGAGGACACAAGAAGCAAAAGUUACUUUGCAACACUCAGAGGAAACCGAUGACAGGGGACGGGAAGUAAUCACCUGGAGAGACAACACCAGGGUUGGUUCCUGAACAUGAAACAUGCAGCCUCUCAACCGGAAACAACCUGCAGGUGUGAAGGGGCGAGCAGCUCCCCCUCCGAGGGCAGAGCCAAAAAUCUCACCGCACAGAGCCACCUGGAGAAAGACGAUUCAGCCAGCCUGCCUCAAACAUGGAGCAGAAGUGAAAAGUGGCUCAAAGAUCAUUAGAUCAGCAUUUUGGAUCCAUGGUCAGAAAACCUAAUCGUGGUAAAUGAUCAGUUCUUAAAGGCAUGUAGACAAGAAGAAGUCCACAAACAGUGAAGACCUUGGAGCACUGAUCACUGUUUGGAGGUUUUUCUCCUUCUCUGCGUUCUCUCUCUCCUCUCAGGUGCAGUUGUGUGCCGGCGGUCCUCGCUGGGGCCGCCAGCUGGAGGAGUCUGUUUCCCAGGCUUUGCUAAUCACACAUGCCUUUCAUUUUCUCACCAGUGAGCACUAUUUAAAGAUUGUGUUUGGCAUUCAAUCUCUGUCAGACUGUUGUCACUACAGUAGUGCUAAUCGGCGCCCUCAUGCUUAGAACAAGUUUUGUGUCAUGCCCUGCUUAACCUUUCGCUCUUAUCUGCCUCCAGUAAUUUUUCUAAUGACGUUCCUCUGCUGUUGUGGACAUUCCUCAGUCCAAACCUGCUCUCACUUCAAUUUGUUAUCAUAAAUUGUUAUCACAAUAGCUACCAGCUAUCCAAGGAAUUCUCACCUGCAGUGUACCUGCCUGCCCGCUCUCCACAGCUCCUUCUCCCAGUCUCCUCUGGACUCCUCUGGCCAGUCAGAACAUCCUCCACAGCCUCUAGAUGAAAAUAAUACCAGCUCCACUUCCUCUUGAAGCUAAGAUUGAUUCUGGACCACCUCUGGCUGAAACCUUCCUGUAAUCAGAGAGUUACUUGCACAAUCUCCUGCUGCUGUUUCCAGUGUCGGUAACUUCUAAAAACUUGUUAAAUAAACCUUUUAGAACUGUUGUUAGUUUCUUUCACUGCACUCAUUUGGUCAUUAUGGCAUUUAGGACUUCCAGAAGCUGAUAUCCUGCAUGUCAUAGAGAACGGCAGAAGUUACAAAGAAGAAGUGUGAACACUGUAAACACUGACUCUCUGCACAGAGUUCAUUUGCCAAAGUGAACUGUUCUUUACUAAAGAAUAUGAGCUUUGUGUCUGAAACACUGAAAAACCUUUGGCCUUGAUAUGAUCAAAAUAUACAUAAUACAAGUUCUGAUGAUAUUCUAUGAUAUUCUUAAUUAGCUGUAACAAGGAAGAAGAAAGUAUAACUGUAAUAAUUUACACAGCCUGCCAUCCCCCUUGAUGUUUUUUAAAUGUGUCAAAUUCAAAGUCAAGAUUAAGACUUCCUGUUCACAGGAUGCACCUUUGACCUUUGACUUUUUGUCAAGUUCACACAAACAUCAGAUUCAG
ensembl:lncRNA